UAUUUCACAAUGGGGGAAACCCUGAUGCCGCGACGCCGCGUGAGUGAAGAAGAAUUUCGGUAUGUAAAGCUCUAUCUGCAUGGAAGAAAAUGACGGGACCUGAUUAAGAAGCCCCGGCUAACUACGUGCCAGCAGCCGCGGUAAUACGUAGGGGGCAAGCGUUAUCCGGAUUUACUGGGUGUAAAGGGAGCGUAGACGGCAGCACAAGUCUGGAGUGAAAUGCCGGGGCUUAACCCCGGAACCGCUUUGGAAACUGUGCAGCUAGAGUGCAGGAGAGGUAAGUGGAAUUCCUAGUGUAGCGGUGAAAUGCGUAGAUAUUAGGAGGAACACCAGUGGCGAAGGCGGCUUACUGGACUGUAACUGACGUUGAGGCUCGAAAGCGUGGGGAGCAAACAG
rnacentral:rRNA from 1 species